rnacentral:rRNA from 1 species
GGGCCCGCACAAGCGGUGGAGCAUGUGGUUUAAUUCGAUGCAACGCGAAGAACCUUACCUACUCUUGACAUCCAGAGAAGCCAGCGGAGACGCAGGUGUGCCUUCGGGAACUCUGAGACAGGUGCUGCAUGGCUGUCGUCAGCUCGUGUUGUGAAAUGUUGGUUAAGUCCCGCAACGAGCGCAACCCUUAUCCUUGUUUGCCAGCACGUAAUGGUGGGAACUCCAGGGAGACUGCCGGUGAUAAACCGGAGGAAGGUGGGGACGACGUCAAGUCAUCAUGGCCCUUACGAGUAGGGCUACACACGUGCUACAAUGGUGGUGACAAUGGGUUAAUCCCAAAAAGCCAUCU